rnacentral:rRNA from 1 species
GAUGAACGCUGGCGGCGUGCUUAACACAUGCAAGUCGAACGGAUUUUACAUGAAGCCUAGCGAUUGUAAAGUUAGUGGCGGACGGGUGAGUAACGCGUGAAUAACCUGCCUUAUACUGGGGGACAACAGUUGGAAACGACUGCUAAUACCGCAUAAGCGCACGAAAGCUGCAUGACUCAGUGUGAAAAACUCCGGUGGUAUAAGAUGGAUUCGCGUCUGAUUAGCUAGUUGGUGAGGUAACGGCUCACCAAGGCGACGAUCAGUAGCCGGCCUGAGAGGGUGAACGGCCACAUUGGGACUGAGACACGGCCCAA